UUUAUUACUUUCACUGUGUUUUCAGUUCAUUAAAGUUGUAGUUUUUCCCACCCUCUUGUGUCUAUGUCACUUUGUUCAGGGACAUCAGACACAUCUCAUCCUUAUUUUUCAUCACAUUAUAUCAUAUUUUCAUUUGUUUAUAUUUGUAGUUUUCUGUUCAAAGUUAUACAUAUCACUGCAUGUGUUCUGUUUACCGGAGAGAUUAAAUCAUCCGUGGCUCAGUGCUGUAUUCAUUAUUUUGUAAUGUGUGCUGUUUCUUGUCAUUACUUUAGCUUCUAUCGGUACUCAUUUUGGUUUCCUCUAGCUAAGCCUCCAUUCUCUCUGUGUAUAUCCUUCUCUCUGUGUAUAUCCUUCUCUCUGUAUAUCCUUAUCUCUCUGUAUAUCCUUCUCUCUCUGUAUAUCAUUCUCUCUCUGUAUAUCCUUUUCUCUCUGUAUAUCAUUAUCUCUCUGUAUAUCCUUCUCUCUGUAUAUCCUUAUCUCUCUGUAUAUCCUUCUCUCUCUGUAUAUAAUUCUCUCUCUGUAUAUCUUUCUCUCUCUGUAUAUCCUUCUCGCUCUGUAUCAUUCUCUCUCUGUAUAUCAUUCUCUCUCUGUAUAUAUUUCUCUCUCUGUAGAUCUUUCUCUCUCUGUAUAUCCUUAUAUCUCUGUAUAUCAUUCUCUCUGUGUAUAUCUUUCUCUCUCUGUAUAUCAUUCUCUCUCUGUAUAUCCUUAUCUCUCUGUAUAUCAUCCUCUCUCUGUAUAUCCUUCUCUCUCUGUAUAUCAUUCUCUCUCUGUAUAUCCUUCUCUCUCUGUAUAUCCUUCUCUCUCUGUAUAUCAUUCUCUCUCUGUAUAUCUUUCUCUCUCUGUAUAUCAUUCUCUCUCUGUAUAUCUUCUCUCUCUGUAUAUCCUUCUCUCUCUGUAUACCAUUCUCUCUCUGUAUAUCCUUCUCUCUCUGUAUAUCAUUCUCUCUCUGUAUAUCAUUGUCUCUCUGCAUAUCCUUCUCUCUCUGUAUAUUAUUCUCCCUCUGUAUAUCUUUCUCUCUCUGUAUACAUUUCUCUCUCUGUAUAUCAUUCUCUCUCUGUAUAUCUCUCUCUGUAUAUCCUUCUCUCUCUGUAUAUCAUUCUCUCUGUGUAUAUCCUUCUCUCUCUGUAUAUUAUUCUCUCUCUGUAUAUCAUUAUCUCUCUGUAUAUCUUUCUCUCUCUGUAUAUAGUUCUCUCUCUGUAUAUCAUUCUCUCUCUGUAUAUCUUUCUCUCUCUGUAUAUCCUUCUCUCUCUGUAUAUCAUUCUCUCUCUGUAUAUCCUUCUCUCUCUGUAUAUCAUUCUCUCUCUGUAUAUCCUUCUAUCUCUGUAUAUCAUUCUCUCUCUCCUUCUCUCUCUGUAUAUCAUUCUCUCUCUGUAUAUCUUUCUCUCUCUGUAUAUCAUUCUCUCUCUGUAUAUCUUUCUCUCUCUGUAUAUCCUUCUCUCUCUGUAUAUCAUUCUCUCUCUGUAUAUCCUUUUCUCUCUGUAUAUCAUUCUCUCUCUGUCAUUUCUGUCUCUCUUUACUCACUUCCUCUCAUUCUUUUUUCAGCCUCUAUCAGACAUUUAUUUUCAAAAAACUUACGAGCGUAAUCAUCCAUUGCGGAAAAGGUUUGACGUGGAAUUUCCCUACAUGCGAGUGGACUUGCGACCAAACUGAGCUCACUCGUCACUGCUUUCAGAGCACACAGAAAUAUUUAAAUAUUCAAACAUAAAACUUUAAAAAAAAUAUCCAAGCAAUCCAAACAAAGUAGAUCAUACUGAUAUUAUAAUGCUAAUUGUGCUGUGUCAUAUUCCAAGAGACAACAACCAGUACACAGGAACAUGUACAUGUCAGUACAUGGCAGAAGAAAUUUCACAUUAACAGGCCUUUAAAGUGCUCAUUUCAUAAUUUAAGUAUUUAAUUUAAGACCUAAUUAGUUUGAGAGUUUCAGUCCAUAAAAGCACCAGCAGAUCUUUAUUUCAGUAUAACAGAAGGAUUUAGGGUCACUUCACUGACUGUUAAAUCCUCACCACUUCAUUGCUCAGGCUAAUCAGCCUGUUUCUGAAUAGGAAACAACAGCCAUGCCUUACUGAAAAUAAAACUCUUAAA
ensembl:lncRNA